AGUGAACGCUGGCGGUAGGCCUAACACAUGCAAGUCGAACGGCAGCACAGUAAGAGCUUGCUCUUACGGGUGGCGAGUGGCGGACGGGUGAGGAAUACACCGGAAUCUACUUUUUCGCGGGGGAUAAUGAAGGGAAACCUACGCUAAUACCGCAUACGACCUACGGGAGAAAGCAGGGGAUCUUCGGACCUUGCGCGACUGAAUGAGCCGAUGUCGGAUUAGCUAGUUGGCGGGGUAAAGGCCCACCAAGGCGACGAUCCGUAGCUGGUCUGAGAGGAUGAUCAGCCACACUGGAACUGAGACACGGUCCAGACUCCUACGGGAGGCAGCAGUGGGGAAUAUUGGACAAUGGGCGCAAGCCUGAUCCAGCCAUACCGCGUGGGUGAAGAAGGCCUUCGGGUUGUAAAGCCCUUUUGUUGGGAAAGAAAAGCAGCAGGUUAAUACCCCGCUGUUCUGACGGUACCCAAAGAAUAAGCACCGGCUAACUUCGUG
rnacentral:rRNA from 1 species